ACCAAUGACUAUCAGGUCAAGAUGCGCAACGUGUUCAAAUUCCUGGAAAACGGCGACAAGGUGAAGAUCACCCUGCGCUUUCGUGGCCGCGAAAUGGCACACCAGAACCUGGGCCGCGAGUUGCUGGAACGUGUCGCCGAAGACACCAAGGACGUGGGCAAGAUCGAGAACUUUCCCAAGAUGGAAGGCCGCCAGAUGGUCAUGCUGAUCGGGCCGGUCGCAUCCAAGGGUUAAGGCCGAACAGCCUCUCCAACAAAAGCGGCCUUCUGACGCGCCCGGCCAUGCCGGACUUUGAGAAGGCCGC
rnacentral:misc_RNA from 1 species